rfam:Schistosoma rodhaini strain Burundi genome assembly, scaffold: SROB_contig0002635
AUCCAGCUGACGAAUCCCAAAUAGGACGAAACACAUAUCAAACUGGAU